GAGGGCAGAGCUCAGGGGUAGAGCGUGUGCCUAGCAUGCACGCCGUCCUGGGUUCAAUCCCCGGUCCCUCCA
rnacentral:tRNA from 1 species